rnacentral:rRNA from 1 species
UACGUAGGGCGCAAGCGUUGUCCGGAAUUAUUGGGCGUAAAGAGCUCGUAGGCGGUCUGUCGCGUCGGCUGUGAAAACCCGAGGCUCAACCUCGGGCCUGCAGUCGAUACGGGCAGACUAGAGUACUGCAGGGGAGACUGGAAUUCCUGGUGUAGCGGUGAAAUGCGCAGAUAUCAGGAGGAACACCGGUGGCGAAGGCGGGUCUCUGGGCAGUAACUGACGCUGAGGAGCGAAAGCGUGGGGAGCGAACAGG